CAGAAGUGUGCAGAAAAGGAUCUGGGUCCUUUCAGCAGCAAUGUCAACUCUGUGGCUUCCUGACUUGCCAGGCCAGGCAGUGCCCAGAUACUCCAUCAUAUAUGACCUCUACUUGAGCUUCAAGAUGUGCAACAUGACUUUUGGCCAGAAGCCAAUCUCAACUCCUUGCCAUGAAGUUCUCAACAUGGCUGCUUGCUUCCUCAAAGCCACCUAAGGAGAAAGUCUUCUGUUAUGUUAGCUGCCUCCAUCCGGAGUCUAGACUUCUCUUCAUCUACGUCUUAGAAGGGUUCAUGUCCUG